GUCCCCUACGGGAGGCAGCAGUCGAGAAUCAUUCACAAUGGGGGAAACCCUGAUGGUGCGACGCCGCGUGGGGGAAUGAAGGUCUUCGGAUUGUAAACCCCUGUCAUGUGGGAGCAAAUUAAAAAGAUAGUACCACAAGAGGAAGAGACGGCUAACUCUGUGCCAGCAGCCGCGGUAAUACAGAGGGCUCAAGCGUUGUUCGGAAUCACUGGGCGUAAAUCGUGCGUAGGCUGUUUCGUAAGUCGUGUGUGAAAGCCGCGGGAUCAACCCGCGGCCGGCACAUGAUACUUCGAGACUCGAGUAAU
rnacentral:rRNA from 1 species